rnacentral:rRNA from 1 species
AGGGUUUGAUUCUGGCUCAGGACGAACGCUGGCGGCGUGCCUAAUACAUGCAAGUCGAGCGAGCUUGCCUAGAUGAAUUUGGUGCUUGCACCAAAUGAAACUAGAUACAAGCGAGCGGCGGACGGGUGAGUAACACGUGGGUAACCUGCCCAAGAGACUGGGAUAACACCUGGAAACAGAUGCUAAUACCGGAUAACAACACUAGACGCAUGUCUAGAGUUUAAAAGAUGGUUCUGCUAUCACUCUUGGAUGGACCUGCGGUGCAUUAGCUAGUUGGUAAGGUAACGGCUUACCAAGGCAAUGAUGCAUAGCCGAGUUGAGAGACUGAUCGGCCACAUUGGGACUGAGACACGGCCCAA